AACGAACGCUGGCGGCAGGCCUAACACAUGCAAGUCGAGCGAGGACUUCGGUCCUAGCGGCGGACGGGUGAGUAGCGCGUGGGAACGUGCCCUUUGCUUCGGAAUAGCCCUGGGAAACUGGGAGUAAUACCGGAUGAGCCCUUUGGGGGAAAGAUUUAUCGGCGAAGGAUCGGCCCGCGUUGGAUUAGGUAGUUGGUGGGGUAAUGGCCUACCGAGCCGACGAUCCAUAGCUGGUUUGAGAGGAUGAUCAGCCACACUGGGACUGAGACACGGCCCAGACUCCUACGGGAGGCAGCAGUGGGGAAUCUUAGACAAUGGGGGAAACCCUGAUCUAGCCAUGCCGCGUGAGCGAUGAAGGCCUUAGGGUUGUAAAGCUCUUUCAGCUGGGAAGAUAAUGACGGUACCAGCAGAAGAAGCCCCGGCUAACUCCGUG
rnacentral:rRNA from 1 species